UACAGAGGUCCCGAGCGUUGUUCGGAGUUACUGGGCGUAAAGAGUGCGUAGGCGGUUUUCUAAGUUUGGUGUGAAAUCUCCCGGCUUAACUGGGAGGGUGCGCCGAAAACUGGAAGGCUUGAGUAUGGGAGAGGUAAGCGGAAUUCCUGGUGUAGCGGUGAAAUGCGUAGAUAUCAGGAGGAACACCUGCGGUGUAGACGGCUUACUGGACCAUAACUGACGCUGAGGCACGAAAGCGUGGGUAGCAAACAGG
rnacentral:rRNA from 1 species